GACGAACGCUGGCGGCGUGCCUAAUACAUGCAAGUAGAACGCACAGUUUAUACCGUAGCUUGCUACACCAUAGACUGUGAGUUGCGAACGGGUGAGUAACGCGUAGGUAACCUGCCUGGUAGCGGGGGAUAACUAUUGGAAACGAUAGCUAAUACCGCAUAAUAUUGAUUAUUGCAUGAUAAUUAAUUGAAAGGUGCAAUUGCACCACUACCAGAUGGACCUGCGUUGUAUUAGCUAGUAGGUGAGGUAACGGCUCACCUAGACGACGAUACAUAGCCGACCUGAGAGGGUGAUCGGCCACACUGGGACUGAGACACGGCCCAGACUCCUACGGGAGGCAGCAGUAGGGAAUCUUCGGCAAUGGACGAAAGUCUGACCGAGCAACGCCGCGUGAGUGAAGAAGGUUUUCGGAUCGUAAAGCUCUGUUGUAAGAGAAGAACGGGUGUGAGAGUGGAAAGUUCACACUGUGACGGUAUCUUACCAGAAAGGGACGGCUAACUACGUG
rnacentral:rRNA from 1 species